rnacentral:rRNA from 1 species
AUUGAACGCUGGCGGCAGGCCUAACACAUGCAAGUCGAACGAGUGGCGGACGGGUGAGUAAUGUCUGGGAAACUGCCCGAUGUAGGGGGAUAACUACUGGAAACGGUAGCUAAUACCGCCUACCAUCGGAUGUGCCCAGAUGGGAUUAGCUGGUAGGUGAGGUAACGGCUCACCUAGGCGACGCUCCCUCGCUGGUCUGAGAGGAUGACCAGCCACACUGGAACUGAGACACGGUGCAGAAUCGUACGGGAGGCAGCAGUGGGUAAUAGUGCACAAUGGUGGCAAGCCUGAUGCAGCCAUGCCGCGUGUAUGAAGAAGGCCUUCGGGUUGUAAAGUACUUUCAGCGGGGAGGCGUUACUCGCAGAAGAAGCACCGGCUAACUCCGUGCCAGCAGCCGCGGUAAUAC